rnacentral:pre_miRNA from 1 species
UAUUAAAAAAAUUCAUCUAUUUCUGCUAUUAAAAAUUGGCCUAGGUGACGGAAAUAACCAGACAAUUACACUUGACAUGCCAGAUGGAUCAAUUUUUAAUAGUAGAAAUUGAUGUAAUUUUUAACA